AGCCGCGCAGUGAGCACAAAGCGAACUAUUCUUUCGCCUUUUACUAAAGAAUACCGUGUGCUCGCCGCAAAUAGUGGCAUACGCCAAUUUUUGGAGGGGUUUCUUCUCAAGAGGAGGU